rnacentral:lncRNA from 12 species
CUGGAAGUGGAACUUUUCCCCCACUCCCUUACUUUGAGAUUUCUUUCUUUCCCAGUGACCUGGGCUGCACUUUGCCCCCACUCCCUGCCUGCCAAUCUCCUCGGGGUUAGGGCCUCUCUCUUCCCAUUCUUGCAGGCUCUCCCUCCUUGAGAGCCCCGGGAGGCCCAGCCUCCCAGAAUCCGAUCUCCUUCCAACACUGCAGCCCCCCUGUGGAGGAAGGAAGAGGCCUCCUCCGAAUGAAUGGCCGUCAACAGGCCCCCACCCAAGGAGAGACCGGACGCCCCGCCGGGAAGCAGGUGGAAGAGAAGGCAACGCAGGCUCCGGAAAGGAAAGAUCCAGUCCUGUGGGCCCUGCUCGCCUCCGCCUCCACCGCUCGCCGCCACGUCUAAGCUCCCUCCUGGCCUGGUCCCCACCUGAGGGGAAGAGCCAGCCCUUGCUGGACGAUGCUCUCCCACCUGAGGCGUGUCUCGGGUCUCUGUUGGUGCAGAAGAGCACGUUGGAUGCCCCACGUACGGGAGGCAUUGGACUCUGUCCUCUCUGAAAUCUGGUGAUUGAGCUUCCAGUCAGGGAGUUUGUCAAACGCUCUCCUUCCCCAGUCGCUUGCCUCCUCAGGAACUGACUACUUUGGAAAUCUGGGCGGCCUGUCUUUCAAUUCCUUCUUCUGGGGUGGGGGAAUCAAACAAAACCAAACACACCCUCCCUCCCCAAUACACACACUCACACACACACACAUCCUACUCACACAGAUACACUCUCUCUGCUUUGUUAUUUCAAACUGUGUUUGUCUUUGUGAGGGAGAGCUCCUCCCUGCCCCUUCCCUAACUUGGAGACCCACAGAUACUUUAAAAAGAAACAAGUGGAAAGCAGUGUCCUGGACUUUCUGGUGAGCAUGGGGUCCAUCCCUGGCGAUUUGUUUGAGAGGAGGAAGGCGGACAGGGAGGUGCCCAGAGUGUGGCCAAAUGGCUGAAAAAAAGUGUCUGGUGCAAGUGUUCAAGAAAACCAUUCCCACACAAGCCUCCCUGCCUUAUUUCCCCCCAUGUCUUGGGCAGAAGAAGAAAGGUCUUCUUUACUUUUGGUGGGGUCAGUAGUUCCAUUUCUGCUGAGGAGCUGAGAAAUGCUGUCAGCCUUGGAGAUGUCUUUGAUAACAGAGAUCCUGAAAGAGAAGCGCUUGUUUAUUUGCAUGAUAGGGUCACUUAUUAUACAAAAACUCACCAGCUUUCUUUUCUUUCCCCUCCUGCCCUCCCUCCAGCCCCCCUCUGAGGAAAAUAAACAGUGUCAUAAUGAUUUUGGUAAAUAGAAU